GGCGGCGUGCCUAAUACAUGCAAGUAGAACGCUGAAGGAGGAGCUUGCUUCUCUGGAUGAGUUGCGAACGGGUGAGUAACGCGUAGGUAACCUGCCUGGUAGCGGGGGAUAACUAUUGGAAACGAUAGCUAAUACCGCAUAAGAGUAGAUGUUGCAUGACAUUUGCUUAAAAGGUGCAAUUGCAUCACUACCAGAUGGACCUGCGUUGUAUUAGCUAGUUGGUGGGGUAACGGCUCACCAAGGCGACGAUACAUAGCCGACCUGAGAGGGUGAUCGGCCACACUGGGACUGAGACACGGCCCAGACUCCUACGGGAGGCAGCAGUAGGGAAUCUUCGGCAAUGGACGGAAGUCUGACCGAGCAACGCCGCGUGAGUGAAGAAGGUUUUCGGAUCGUAAAGCUCUGUUGUAAGAGAAGAACGAGUGUGAGAGUGGAAAGUUCACACUGUGACGGUAUCUUACCAGAAAGGGACGGCUAACUACGUGCCAGCAGCCGCGGUAAUACGUAGGUCCCGAGCGUUGUCCGGAUUUAUUGGGCGUAAAGCGAGCGCAGGCGGUUAGAUAAGUCUGAAGUUAAAGGCUGUGGCUUAACCAUAGUACGCUUUGGAAACUGUUUAACUUGAGUGCAAGAGGGGAGAGUGGAAUUCCAUGUGUAGCGGUGAAAUGCGUAGAUAUAUGGAGGAACACCGGUGGCGAAAGCGGCUCUCUGGCUUGUAACUGAC
rnacentral:rRNA from 1 species